GGCGAGGUUCGAUCGACAUCAUAUGCAAUGAUUCAUCUAUUGCCCCACUAAUAUAUGUGCCAAACCUAACUGCAUGUAUAUUGUUAGGAUUAUAGAGUAGCCGUCACAUGUCCAAUACUUUAUAUUUGUGAAUUCUCAACACAAAUUCUGCAGGAAAUUGAUAGAUUUCCGUGAGGCAUGAGGACCUGUAUAGAUGAACGACCCAGUUACACAUGGAUUAGCACGAACUAUAGCUCGUUUCAUCUCCCUCUAUAUAUGCGCCC